rnacentral:rRNA from 1 species
AUUGAACGCUAGCGGGAUGCUUUACACAUGCAAGUCGAACGAGUGGCGGACGGGUGAGUAAUAUCUGGGAACGUGCCCAGUAGCGGGGGAUAACUACUCGAAACGGUGGCUAAUACCGCAUACAAUUGGAGCGGCCGAUAUGGGAUUAGCUAGUUGGUGGGGUAACGGCUCACCAAGGCGACGAUCCGUAGCUGGUCUGAGAGGACGACCAGCCACACUGGAAUUGAGCCACGGCCCAGACUCCUACGGGAGGCAGCAGUGGGGAAUUUUGGACAAUGGGGGAAACCCUGAUCCAGCCAUCCCGCGUGUAUGAGAAGGCCUUCGGGUUGUAAAGUACUUUUGGCAGAGAGGCGUUAUCUGCAGAAUAAGCACCGGCUAACUACGUGCCAGCAGCCGCGGUAAUUC